rnacentral:rRNA from 1 species
CUUGAACGCUGGCGGCAUGCCUUACACAUGCAAGUCGAACGGUAACGGGCCUUCGGGUGCCGACGAGUGGCGAACGGGUGAGUAAUGCAUCGGAACGUACCCAUCAGUGGGGGAUAACUCUCCGAAAGGAGGGCUAAUACCGCAUAUUCUGUGCGCAGGAAAGCGGGGGACCGCAAGGCCUCGCGCUGAUGGAGCGGCCGAUGUCAGAUUAGCUAGUUGGUGGGGUAAAGGCCUACCAAGGCGACGAUCUGUAGCGGGUCUGAGAGGAUGAUCCGCCACACUGGGACGGAGACACGGCCCAGACUCCUACGGGAGGCAGCAGUGGGGAAUUUUGGACAAUGGGGGCAACCCGGAUCCAGCCAUGCCGCGUUAGUGAAGAAGGCCUUCGGGUUGUAAAGCUCUUUCGGACGGGAAGAAAUCGCAUCUCCUAAUACGGGGUGUGGAUGACGGUACCGGAAUAAGAAGCACCGGCUAACUACGUGCCAGCAGCCGCAGUAACAC